CAGCCGAGGGUGGGUAGGACACUAGGACCGGCCAGCUGUGUUUGUUUCAUCAGGAGCUGCUUGGAAGUGGACACUUUCAGUUUCCCUUUAGGUCCUUAUUUUUGGGCUCCGGGAGUGGUUACCACACAGACUCGCAGCCGGGUCCUCCAAGGACGGCAGGAGUCUGAUGUGGCUUCGGAGUGAGCUGGAGUGAGGGGUAAAGCGACACCACCUUCCAGGCGGGACGCGGACGCGAGCUGUAGGGAAGACUGUCAGAUCCCACUGCUGGCACCAUGACCUCAGGAGCACAUGGGCUCAGCCCAGAGAGCGAAGCACUUGUCGAGGAAGUCAUUGAGUGUUUCCAGAACUCAGUGAGCCGAGAGGAACUGCACUUCUUGCUGACCAACCAUGAAGCCUGGGAGAGAUUCGUGGCUAAGGCCACGUUGUCCAGGUAACGGCCUAGGGAUGCCCCGGGACGGUCACCCAGGUCUGUGCGGGGUAGUAUCCUGGGCUUGGGGUUGAGU
rnacentral:lncRNA from 1 species